CAAUAAUUUUUUAAAUUUUUUUUAUUUUCCCUCCCUGCUGUUUCCCCAAAAUUGGUUUCCCUCUCUCCCAAAACUGACCCGCUCACAUUUACACCCUUCAUUCAUCCCUUUUAGCCCUAACUGGUUGAGUGGUUUCCCCUCUAAAAUGGGUUCUACUUUAUUGCUUUUAUCUCUUUUAGAAGGGCUUGCGAUCCUUUUGAGGAACUGACGUUAUUGACUUCUUCUUCUAUCGCCAUCCAUGAACUUAUGUUCUUGUUCCUUUUUUUUUUUCCUGAAGUUAUACGGAUUUGAAGGAUUACAUUUCAUUCACUCAUGGCUGGUCACCACUUGAUAUUGAAAAGGUGGUGUUGGCUAUCAUGUUGGUUGAUAAUAUCUUUUAUUUUUGUGUGUAUAUCAGUAUUAAGACCAGGGGCAGAUCUAGGUUGAGACGUAUGGGUUCACACGAACCCACUCGAUUUCAAAUUUUCCAUAGAAAUGUUAAUAGAAAAUUUGGGAUGAACCCAUAAAAGAUAUUCGGGAUGAACCCAUUUGCGAAAUUGAUGGAGGGCGGAGCGGUUAAAGCAAGUGCUUAUAUGUCUGAAGUUACAGGAACAAAUGACGAAUUACAAACCUCCAGAUGAUGAAGUGUUUUGGUUGAUCCCUCUACAGUUGUAAUGAACAACGAGCAUGAUGGCUAUAUUUGCAUUUGUGGAGAGGUGUUACUAUGAAAAUGAUAAACAAAAUGGAAGGUGGUGAGAAACUAUAGAUCAUUCUGGUCAGCCGAGGCAACCAUUCAAAGCGAGCCUUGAAGUUGAAAAGAUAGUUACUUGAAAGGUAAAGAAGUUUUUGAAGAGUCAAAGGAAAAAGGCUGAGCUAGAAGCCAUGCAAAAAUAUGUUCUCAGCCAAUGUACAAACUUUAAAGCUACGAUGUAUCAUGGAAAACUACCUAUUGAAGUAUUUCAAGAUCUUAGAGAUGAAUAGAAGGUUUUCAUUACUUUAUAUCAUUGUUAUAUUUUAAUUAAAGUGUUAUUUUGAGUUUAGACAUAUGUUAAAUAACGAUAUAAGAUUACCUAUUAUAUUUA